GGGUUAAAAUGGUAAAUUUGGGGAACCCCCCAGGGGGAAGGGGGCUUUUUUGGUUUUUUAACUUGAACCGCUGAGGGAGGAAAAGGUGGGGGAGGGAACCCGGGGAUUUAGAUCCCUUGGUUAGUCCCCCCCUUAAAACGGAUGAGUUGUUAAGGUUGUUAGGGGGGGUUUCCCGCCCCCUUUGUGCUGCAGGUUAACGGCAUUAAGCCACUCCCGCCUGGGGGAGUACGUUCGCAAGACUGAAAAUCAAAAGGAAUUGACGGGGGGCCCCGCACCAAGCGGGUGGAGCAUGUGGUUUUAAUUCGAAGCAACGCGAAGAACCUUUACCAGGGUCUUGACAUCCUCUGACAAUCCUAGAGAUAGGACGUCCCCUUCGGGGGCAGAGUGACAGGUGGUGCAUGGUUGUCGUCAGCUCGUGUCGUGAGAUGUUGGGUUAAGUCCCGCAACGAGCGCAACCCUUGAUCUUAGUUGCCAGCAUUCAGUUGGGCACUCUAAGGUGACUGCCGGUGACAAACCGGAGGAAGGUGGGGAUGACGUCAAAUCAUCAUGCCCCUUAUGACCUGGGCUACACACGUGCUACAAUGGACAGAACAAAGGGCAGCGAAACCGCGAGGUUAAGCCAAUCCCACAAAUCUGUUCUCAGUUCGGAUCGCAGUCUGCAACUCGACUGCGUGAAGCUGGAAUCGCUAGUAAUCGCGGAUCAGCAUGCCGCGGUGAAUACGUUCCCGGGCCUUGUACACACCGCCCGUCACACCACGAGAGUUUGUAACACCCGAAGUCGGUGAGGUAACCUUUUAGAGCCAGCCGCCAAGUGAAG
rnacentral:rRNA from 1 species